rnacentral:rRNA from 1 species
CGCCAACAAGCUAGCCCGACCUUUACCUUCAACAUAAAAACAUUACUACCCCAAAAUGUACGUAACACCAUAAAAUAAAACAUUUUCUUCCCCAAGUAUAGGCGAUAGAAAAGGACCUAAGGAGCUAUAGAGAAAGUACCGCAAGGGAACGCUGAAAGAGAUAUGAAAUAGCCCAGUAAAGCCAAAAAAAGCAGAGAUUAACCCUCGUACCUUUUGCAUCAUGAUUUAGCUAGUAGCCUUAAGCAAAGAGAACUUUAGUUUAAGACCCCGAAACCACGUGAGCUACUCCAAGCCAGCCUAGUAUAUAGGGCAAACCCGUCUCUGUGGCAAAAGAGUGGGAAGAGCUUCGAGUAGGGGCGACAAACCUACCGAACCUGGUUAUAGCUGGUUGCCUGAGAACUGAAUAGAAGUUCAGCCUUAAAGAUUCUUAACUCCCAGAAUUAUUACUAUUCUCCUGACAGCCAAAAAGAAACUUUAAGAGUUAAUCAAAGGGGGUACAGCUCCUUUGAUACAAGACACAACUUUUCCAGGAGGGUAAAGAUCCUAUUUCUUAAAGGAACAAUGCUCUGGUGGGCCUAACAGCAGCCAUCCAAACAGAAAGCGUUAAAGCUCGAGCAUCCCCCACAUCCUCUAAUUCCGAUAACCCAAUCUUAUCCCCCUAAUCCUACCAGGCCUUCCCAUGCCCCCAUGGGUGUGAUUAUGCUAAUAUGAGUAAUAAGAGGGUCCGCCCCUCUCCUCGCACAUGUGUAUAUCGGAAUGAACCCCCCACCGAAAAUUACCGGCCCCAAUCAAAGAGGGCAGUAGGCAUCUAAAUUAAGAGACAAGAAAAGCACCUACACAAACACCGUUAACCCUACACCGGCGUGCAACUCAAGGAAAGACUAAAAGAAAAAGAAGGAACUCGGCAAACACUUACCUGAGCCCCGCCUGUUUACCAAAAACAUCGCCUCUUGCAAUACAAGAAUAAGAGGUCCCGCCUGCCCAGUGACAUCCCCGUUCAACGGCCGCGGAAUCCUAACCGUGCAAAGGUAGCGCAAUCACUUGUCUCUUAAAUGAAGACCUGUAUGAAUGGCUAGACGAGGGCUCAACUGUCUCCUUUUUCAAGUCAAUGAAAUUGAUCUCCCCGUGCAGAAGCGGGGAUUUUCACAUAAGACGAGAAGACCCUGUGGAGCUUUAGACGCAAAACAGAAUCCGUCACUUACUCCCACAAUAAAGGCGCAAAACCACUAACCUAACCUGUUCUUACGUCUUCGGUUGGGGCGACCAUGGGGUAACAAAAAACCCCCACGCGGACUGAGAGCUCCCUCCCCCUCUUCCCACUCCUCCCAAAACCAAGAGCGACAGCUCUAACUAGCAGAAUUUCUGACCAUAAAUGAUCCGGCACAUGCCGAUCAACGGACCAAGUUACCCCAGGGAUAACAGCGCAAUCCCCUUUAAGAGACCCUAUCGACAAGGGGGUUUACGACCUCGAUGUUGGAUCAGGACAUCCUGAUGGUGCAGCCGCUAUUAAGGGUUCGUUUGUUCAACGAUUAAAGUCCUACGUGAUCUGAGUUCAGACCGGAGUAAUCCAGGUCAGUUUCUAUCUAUGAUGUAAUCUUUUCUAGUACGAAAGGACCGAGAAGAUGGGGCCCCUGCUAAAAGUACGCCCUACCCCCACCCAAUGAAACCAACUAAAUUAAGUAAGGGAGGACACCCCUAAUGCCUUAGAGCCCGGCAU